UACGUAGGGAGCAAGCGUUGUCCGGAAUCAUUGGGCGUAAAGCGCGCGUAGGCGGCCCCGUAAGUCCGCUGUGAAAGUCAAAGGCUCAACCUUUGAAAGCCGGUGGAUACUGUGGGGCUAGAGUCCGGAAGAGGCGAGUGGAAUUCCUGGUGUAGCGGUGGAAUGCGCAGAUAUCAGGAGGAACACCAAUAGCGAAGGCAGUUCGCUGGGACGGUACUGACGCUAAGGCGCGAAAGCGUGGGGAGCGAACAGG
rnacentral:rRNA from 1 species